ACCAGGUGCGUUCGCGGCCCUCGAGGGUUCUCUCUCGGGUGGUAGGGGUAACACCCUCACGCGUCGCAUUUCUGAAUCCUUUUUUACGAGCACCUUUCGUUCUCCUUCGGUGGGGCAACCUGCCGCUGGAACUUAACAAAACCUUUUUUUGCAUCUAGCAUUACCUGUUCUGAUACAAACAAUCGUUACAACUUUCAACAAUGGAUCUCUUGGCUCUGGCAUCGAUGAAGAACGCAGCGAAAUGCGAUAAGUAGUGUGAAUUGCAGAAUUCAGUGAAUCAUCGAAUCUUUGAACGCACAUUGCGCCCCUUGGUAUUCCAUGGGGCAUGCCUGUUCGAGCGUCAUCUACACCCUCAAGCUCUGCUUGGUGUUGGGCGUCUGUCCCGCCUCUGUGCGUGGACUCGCCCCAAAUGCAUUGGCAGCGGUCCUUGCCUCCUCUCGCGCAGCACAAUUGCGUUUCUUGAGGUGUGCGGCUCGCAUCCACAAAGCAACCAUCGUCUUUGACCUCGGAUCAGGUAGGGAUACCCGCUGAACUUAAGCAUAUCAAUAAGCGGAGGAAAAGAAACCAACAGGGAUUGCCCUAGUAACGGCGAGUGAAGCGGCAACAGCUCAAAUUUGAAAUCUGGCUCUCUUUGGGGGUCCGAGUUGUAAUUUGCAGAGGAUGCUUUGGUAUUGUCGGCGGUCUAAGUUCCUUGGAACAGGACAUCACAGAGGGUGAGAAUCCCGUACGUGGUCGCCUGCCUUUACCGUGUAAAGCUCCUUCGACGAGUCGAGUUGUUUGGGAAUGCAGCUCUAAAUGGGAGGUAAAUUUCUUCUAAAGCUAAAUACCGGCCAGAGACCGAUAGCGCACAAGUAGAGUGAUCGAAAGAUGAAAAGUACUUUGGAAAGAGAGUCAAAAAGCACGUGAAAUUGUUGAAAGGGAAGCGCUUGCAGCCAGACUUGCCCGCAGUUGCUCACCUAGGCUUUUGCCUGGGGCAUUCUUCUGCGGGCAGGCCAGCAUCAGUUUGGGCGGUUGGAUAAAGGCCUCUGUCACGUAUCUCCCUUCGGGGUGACCUUAUAGGGGAGGCGUAAUGCAACCAGCCCGGACUGAGGUCCGCG
rnacentral:rRNA from 1 species